UACAGAGGUCUCAAGCGUUGUUUCGGAUUCAUUGGGCGUAAAGGGUGCGUAGGUGGCGCCGUAAGUCAGGUGUGAAAUUUCGGAGCUUAACUCCGAAACUGCAUUUGAUACUGCGGUGCUUGAGGACUGGAGAGGAGACUGGAAUUCACGGUGUAGCAGUGAAAUGCGUAGAUAUCGUGAGGAAGACCAGUGGCGAAGGCGGGUCUCUGGACAGUUCCUGACACUGAGG
rnacentral:rRNA from 1 species